rnacentral:lncRNA from 1 species
UUAAAUGUUCUAUGAUGGUGUUAGAAAUUUAUGUACAAACAAGGAGUUCUAGGAGUUCUAGUUAGUUCAAAAUGAGUGAUUAUUACAGGAUUUACCUUUAACAAAUUUUGAGAAAUUACAGUUACGAUUCGACCGAAAAUCUGCCUCCGGUGUAUUAGAAGUUGUUUUUUAUAAUGCAUGCUACAAUGCAUAGUUGUCAAAACAUAGAUCAAGAAUAAGAAUUAGGGAAACAUUUGAGCAAUUAAAUGAUGCAACAAUAGGAAACCUGAAUGGACAGAAGCCAUGAUAGUUCUCCCAUUGCACAUACAUAUUCGACCAUAAGGAUUUACUCCAGCAUCCGGUACCCUGCUAAAAUACCAAGCAAUAUAUUGCCCUUCCUGCGCAGCAAUGUGCAGCAAUCUGGCAGGAAAAUAAAGAAGAAAACUGAAAGCACCAUAUUUUCACUGCAAUCGCUGCUUAAAACUUUACAUUGCCAAAAUUACACAGAAAAAUGAAAGGCAUCGUAAGCUUAUGUGCAGGUAGAAACAUGUCUCAUGAAUCCACACGUGUAAGACUCCUUCACUGGCUGGUGUUGUCCACCCGCGCUUUUGUUGUAAUUGUUGGGUUUUUCACCGCACACUACUUUCACUCAGUUGGUUAUUAUAGUGCAAACGUUGAUUGGGGGUAGUUCUUUUUUCGAUGCUUACAUAAUAGGGGAAUCAGAUAAAAAUUAAAUUCUGCAAAGGUUAUUAUUAUGGCCUUCAAAAUGAUGCAAAAUGAACUCCACUUAUCCAGAAUCAUGAUUUAUGCAGUUUUUCUUUUAAAAUUUUGGUUAUUCUGGUCAUGCAUAAAAGGGAUUGACUAUCAACAUAGUUGUGUAAGCUACAAAGAUGUUAAAUUCAAUACCAUGGAAGUUUCUUUCCUCUAAAUUACGAUUCCAUUGUAGGUAGGCUGCACAUCAGAAUAAUGUGUGCUCACAAAAAUGAUAGACACGAACGUAACAAAUAGGUAAAUGACUUACCAGACAAUAUAAAAUAGGGGAACUGAGGAAGCGCCUAAGAACACUGUAAGGGUCAGAAGUGAAUACAUGGUAACACAUAAAUAAUAAUUCAACUGGCCAACCACACUGAAUAUUUUUGCAAUAGCUUAAACAUAGGAGUAUGUAAUUGGGAGAAGUUUCAUGGUAAGAUGGAAAUAAGCUUCCUACCAUCUUCACAUGCACCCCUAUUAUCAUCUAGCUAUGUGAGUUCCAGAAUGAUCACUAGAUAUUUGAACAAAUAAACAUGGUAGUGAUUUUGAGCAUCCACAUAUUGUGAUUGUUCUGUUCCACUUCAAGAAUAUAAGAUCAUCUGUCUAUCCAUCAUGCUCUUAAAAAACAGUCGAGUUGGUAGGACAAGAAACAACAAAGAGCAUAUGUAGGACAUUACCCAGCAGCAUUUACUUGCUUUCAACCAAGAUGAGUUCAAGUAUUUCCUUGAAAAUCCAGAUCUGUAAAAUACCAGUCUUUUCUCUGAAGGUG